CUCCAUAUUCGUUCAAGUUUAGUUCUUUGGAAUUCAAGAAAUAAGACAAAUUGUUCAUAUUUUUCAAGAUAUUACAUCAAGAAAUUAUACAUAAGACAUAUACCUAAUCCUAAACCUAAUGGCUACCAUGUUUGUGCUUCCAUCUCCACCGAUUCAUAUCUACAAUUCAAUCUUCAUGCCUCACCUUCGAAUGUCUCAACCAUAUUCAUAUGCUUCCUCUCAACUUAUCCAAAACCGAUCAACCAUGCUCAUAUACCGAAAUAG